rnacentral:lncRNA from 1 species
AGGUCUCAGCACUCGAAUUUAGAGGAAGGAACGCCGAGACUGGUUGCUGGUGUUGAAAUGGACAGCAUCAGUAGGAGCGAGAGAGAAGCAACAGUAUCUGCUUUUCGAACUGUGAUCGAAAGCUUGGGUAAUGGAGAAAAAACAUCUCUUCGGCAGAUUCGUAAUCUGCCGAGACGUUUCCUGGAUGCUACGAGACGUUACCCGGAUGCUAAUUUUUGGCUGAUUUAUGUGUAUUCCAUAAUAUUUGAUCCUGUUUUCUUGUACCUUCCCGUGAUCAACGAUGGCAAAAAGUGCUUCCAAUUUGACAUAGCCCUUAUGAUUUUGGUUAUUGUUGAACGUACAGCAUAUGAUAUAUUGUUUUUGAUGAAAAAAGCUUUACGAAUAGGGGAGAAUGUACAUCGAAAUUUUAGCAAAUCUCGGUUGGCCGUCUUCCUAUUUGAUCUCGCCUUCAUUUUUCCACUCCCACAGGUAAAUGUUUGUUCUGUCGUACUUUUUACUUAUUUGUUCCAACUAGCCAAGCAAGGGCACACGCGCAUACCUAUGGGCGCCCAAAAGUAAUUUAUGUUGGAUUCCUAGCAAGCACGCAUAGGUUGUAAUUUGUACGAUUAAUUUCCAUUUUUUUUUUUCCUUUUCAUAUGGAAUCAUAUUUCAUAAUUGAUAAUUCUAUCUUUAUGGUGUACAAACUGUUCAGGUGUUGGUGCUUCUAGUUUAUAAUCGACUAAUGAAUGUCCAGCAAUUUUUCCAUGUGAUGAACCUGUUUAUCGUCCAACAUUUGCUAAAGGUUAAGCGAUUGUAUGCAUUGAUUAAAAAAAGGAAGAAUUCAUAUAAGCAUACUAAAUGGGCCAGACUUACGUUCAAUCUCUUUUACCUACAUGCUGCUAAUGUAAGUUUACUUGCCUCCCAAGUCUCCAAUAUAUUCUAUUUCUCUUUACUCUUUUUUGGGUAAUUUAUAAUUCCUGAUGAUCUACUUGAUGGUUGUUUAGGGGUUUGGAGCAUUAUGGUACUUUUUUGCUCUACAAAGAAAGACCGAAUGUUGGAGGAAAGCCUGCACAGGUUCUACCAAAUGCCGUCUCCUUCCUUUGCACUGUGACAACAGUUUAACAAACUACACAUUUUCUAAUGAUUUUUGCUCUACAAAGACUCAAAAUGCAACUAUCUAUGAUUUUGGGAUAUACGUUGAUGCUAUUAAUUCUGGUGUUAUGGAGCAAAACAGUUUAUCUCUGAGGUUCUUGCUUUGUAUUCGAUGGAGCCUGCAAAAUCUCAGGUUAAGUUGUGGAUAUACAUCAUUCUCCUUGUAACAAUCUUUGUGCAUAUGCCUUUCUAUGUUUUUUGGGCAUAAAAUUACGCAUACGUAUUUUUAUGUUUUUUUAGCAAUUAAACUCAAAAACAUUGGUUCUAAAUUUCUAAUAAAUUUGUGGGUUUGACUUUUGCAGUUCUUUUGGUCAAGGUCUCCCAUUCAGUACUAAUGUCUUGGAAAACUUCUUUGUGAUUUCAAUUACCAUCACUGGAGUAGUGCUGUUUUUCUUCUUGAUUGGAAAGGUCCAGGUUGGUGUAUCUUUAUUUUAUGUUAUUUUAUUUUUUUCUCGUCUGAUUCUUGUCUCUUAAAAUUGGUUCUUUAUGCUUGAUUGAGAUGAAGCGCAAUAAAUUUUAAUUUUCCAUAAACCAUUAUUCUCGCGCAAUGUGCAGUAUGAAAUGUCAAAAGCAGAGGAGAUAAGACAGAAGGUACAAGAAAUACACCAGUGGCCGCCCUUUGGAAAGCUCCCUAAGGAACUCCAAAAGAAGGUCAGGAGACAUGCGGCAUCCAAAUUGCGAGGAACCACAGGGGUUGAUGUAGAAAUGGUGAAUAAUCUUCCAGAGGACCUCAGAAAGAGCAUAAAACAAAACCUCUGCUUAGACCUGCUAAAAAAUGUGAGUAAGAAAUCUUUACAACUAUAUUUGUCCCUCCUACUUCUGAAUUUGUGGAACUGACAAAGAAGAGGCUGGCAACAUAUAAACAGCAAUCCGAAAAACUAAUGAAAAUAUUUUCCUCUUCUUUAACUCAAUCGAAUAAACUCAAGGGUAAAUGUUUGUAACUAUUUGAACUUCUGCAUGGUUUUGAAAGCGCAAUAGCUAAGGUUCACAUCACCUCAAUGGAAACUCAAGCCUGACAUGUGUUUAGUGAUGGGGAAUGAAUCUCAUUUUAGCUGAGAUAGUUCUAGAUCAAUUUUUAUUCUCUUCAUUCAGAAGCUGAAUUUCAUUAUCAGCAUCGAGCCUUCUAGAUUAUAGUAAUGAUAUUGGAUGUAUGUUUGUUUAGGCAGAAGAGUUUGGAAAGCAGGAUGUUUCAUCGUUGAAGAAACUGUGUGAUGUUGUGAAGCCAGUUGUCUUCACAGCGCGCUCUUACAUUCUCCAGGAGGGAAACCCAAUUGAUCAAAUGCUCUUCGUGCUGCAAGGCAAGUUAUGGACCUACACUUCCAGGAGCAUAGCUGGAUCCUCAAGCAAUUCUGGUAACCUGAACAACCAUCUGGAAGAUGGUGACUCUGCUGGAGAAGAACUCAUUGCUUGGGCGAAGGCUGACCGCGACUCAUCCAACCUCCCUCUAUCAACUAAAACAAUUCAAGCUCUUACAAAUGUUGAAGCAUUUGUUCUAAUGGCAGAUGAUUUGAAGCAGUUGCUUUUGAAUAUUGAUCAUUAAGCAAAACAAUGCAGCUCGCUGCAUACAAGUAUUCCGACAAACUAGAAAGAAUGCACAAGCGUCCGCACAAUGAACGCCACCAUCGCCAUCUACAAUAAUAUUUUGGGCAUUCAGAUCUGGUGCAGCAACGUUAGUAUUUUAGGCCUUGUUCAUGAUCUUAAUUAAGGACCUAUCUCAAGAAUAAAUUUGGACGAGAGUAUUUUGAGUUUGAGAUAUUAGAAACCGAUGCCUGAUACGGUUGAUGUGUAUAUAUAAAGCUAUCAAAACUCCUCUACAGUGUUGAUUAUAUAUAUAUAUAUUUAUGCUAAUUUCAAGUUCGGAUUGCAGUAUGGAGCAAAGUUUUCAUGUUUCAACCGACGAUUCAUUUUGUUCCAUUUUAAAAUCACACUAAUUUGCAUAUAAUGCGUCCCUGAUUUUAAUAUUUAUUCCAUAUUAUAAUGGUUUUUGAGGAUGAGAGAGUCCGUGCCCUCGUUGAAAAUUUCAUUAAUCGACCCAUUGCUGAGAUGGCCAUUGGCAAAACUACUGUAAUAAAAGAAAAUCUAACUUCACCCAUAAUCAUAUGACUUUCAUCUAGUUUAAAAGUAAGCUAUUAAAAUAAGUGGUCAUCUGUUAUAUACAAAGUGCUUUACCCGUGUAAACUCCUUGUAUGAGCAUAUUGAACUUAUAACUUCUGAGAUUAGUGCCCGACAGAUACCUUCGAAUUCAAUUUUUUUGCAGUUCUUUUGGUCAAGGUCUCCAAACAAGUGCCAAUCCAUGGGAAAACAUCUUUGCAGUUUGCAUUAGUGUAUCUAGCAUGUGGCUACUUGUUAUUUUUGUUGGACAAAUCCUGGUUCAUCAUUUUUUUUUUUUUAUCUCCAAGAUAGUUUUAUCUGCUGCUUAAGAUGAAGCGCAGUGACUUUUAAUUUCUAUGGACUCUAGUCUUUUUGAAACAGACUUAUUCACAGUCAGUCUGAACUUGUAAGACCAGUGGGGAUGACACAGAAGGGGACAGAGUUAGGGCAGUGGCUGCCCUAUAGAAAGCUUUCUCUAAAACUUCAACAGCCGAUUCAGUACCUGCUAUACCAAUUGCAAGAAACCAUUGGUUUUGAUAUAGAAAGUUUGAUCAAUCGUCUUCCAAAGGACCUUGGAAGGGAGAUAAAAUAUGAACUCUGCUUAGAACUCCUCAAGAAAGUGGGUUUUAAUUUUAUUAUUGCUGUUAUUAUCCAAUAGAACUGCUCUGCUUUGUACAUCAUUGUGAGUUCUAUUCAAUACCACAUUAUAAUUGCUUGAGAUGGUACGUCUGUAUUCUCAUUGUUGUUCUUGUAUGUAAUCAAGAUGGGAAAAUUUGGAAAGUGGAAGAGAGCAUUGCUGGAGGAUCUGUGUGAUUUUGUUCAGCCAGUUACCUACAUGGGGCACGCUUACAUUGUCCAUGAAGGAGACCCAAUUGAUAAGGCACUUUUGGUGGUGCAAGGUAAGCUACGGAUCUACAACUCCGGAAAUGUAACAAAAGCCUCCCCAGGCACUAAUAAUUAUCUUAAAGAUGGCGACAUUUGUGGAGAAGAACUUGUCGCUUGGGUUCAGGAUGCUUGCACUACAAUUGACCAUUUUUCAUCUGACCUCCCUACCUCAACAGGAACCAUUCAAGCACUUACAAAAGUUGAAGCCUUUGUUCUCACAGCCGAUGAUUUAUUACUCUUUGAGCAGAAACGAGUAGCUCCAUUCAUUAAAGCAGCUCGAUUUUUAAAAUUAUUCCAGGACAUUGUAAAAAGAAUUUUCUCAUUUUCUGGUAGCCAUGGACAGAUCGAUACUCAGGUGUAAGGGCAAACCAACAAUGCUUCAGCCUGCCAUCUCAACCAGAGCUAUUCAAGCAUAAAGUUGAAGCCUUUUGUCUAUGGCUGAUGACUUGAAAAAUGUGUCACUCAUUAAGCCUAGUCGGGCAGCUCUAUUCAUCCAAGCAACUUGAUUCAUAAAAUUGCUCAUGGGCGCUGUGAAAGGAACUUAAUUUCUCUCAUUCUACAAGGAAUGCAGAAACGUCUAGACAGAGCGCCCCACAAUUACGUGUGCAUUUGAGGCAGCUGCGCUGCAAUAUCCUCCUAGAAUAUAGGCAGCUGCUCCCUGUUAAGGAAGCAGAGUAGUCAGUGGAGCAGAGGAUUGCAACACCUGCAGCUUGCUGUUACAGGUUGAUGACAUGGCUUGCCAGCUGGAGCCUGGUGGUUAUAUAGUCUCUUGCACACGUGAAGAUUAGUAGGUUUGUUAUAGUAUUUCUUGUGCUUGUAAUUCAGUUUUAAUUAGUUAUAACCAGCUGAUUAGCACUUGCAAUUAGUUGAGAAUUAGUUCUAAUUACUACUGAUGUAUAUAAACAGAAGUAUGUACAGAUUCAGUCAAUUAAUGACUUGAGAUAAUAAAAACGAAGAAAGAGUUUUAGAAUUCUCUUAUUUUCCCUUAAGUUUUUUCUGUUUCCAAACAUCAUUGAAUUCUUACUUGGUAUCAGAGCCAGCCAAUAAUGGCGUCUGUUAAUCUUGCUUCUUCUUCCUCAAUUUAAACUCUUAAUCAUGCUACAAAUUCAACAACUGUUUCCUUUACCUUUAACACACCAGUCAAGCUUGAUCAGUCCAAUUAUCUCAUAUGGCGAUCUCAAGUCCUAGCCUCAAUUCGUGGAAACAGGCUCGAAAAGUUUAUUGAUAAUGCAGUCACUCCACCUCCAUCUCAUAUAGCUCAGAGAGUUGAUGAUAAACUCAGAUCUGUAAAGAAUCCAGAAUUCACAACAUGGAGAUCUCAAGAUCAAGUGAUGCUUGGAUGGCUGCUCUCUUCAAUGAGUGAAGGAAUCAUUAGUCUAGUGUUCAACCUGGAAACAUCACUUGAAGUGUGGAAAACUAUUAAGGUACAAUUUGGCUCGCAGUCUAAAUCCAGACUUUUACAUCUAAGAUACAUGAUGAAUUCAACAAGGAAAGAUAUGAUGAAUUCAACAAAAAAAGAUGAUAUGAAAAUCACAGACUAUUUUAUUAAGAUGAAAAACAUAGCUGAUAAUAUGGCUGCAGCAGGAAGUGCUUUAAGUAGUGAUAAUCUGAUUUUACAUGUAUUAUCUAGCCUAGGACCAGAUUAUAAUUCAGUAGCUACUUACAUUACUGGUCAAGUAGGAGUUGGUAAAAUGAAUGUAAAUGAAGCCUAUGCUAUGUUGUUAACUCAAGAGGCUAGGAUUGAACAACAAUCACAAAUGCUUGCUGGUGUGGAUAUGAAAAACAAUUUUUGAGGCAAAUUAUGCUCAAAAUAGAGGAGUUAAGAAGGGAAACAUAUCAGGUGGAAGAGGUUUUGGUGGUUAUGGCUAUAACUCUGGGUUUGGAAAUGGUGGUUAUUACAAAGGAAACUUUGGCACUGAAUCUACUAGUGGUGGUACUGGUUUUAAUAGUCAGUUCAAAGGUUAUCAAUCUGGUAAUCAAAUAGGAGGAGGAGGAGGAAACUAGAACAAUAACACUGGAGUUAACAAUUUUAACAAUGGGAAACCACCUAUGAACUCUAAACCUCAGUGGAAUACUUCAAAACCUACCUGCUAAAUCUGCCUCAAGCCUGGACAUACUGCAAACAUUUGUUGGAAGCUGGAAGAAUUCAUUGCUUUAGGCUCUUACAGAUCACCUCCAAAUAGAGGACCAAAGGCUGCCUAUUUAGCCAACAUGGAUGCUCCAGCUGAUACUAAUUAGUAUCUUGACAGUGGUGCUACACACCACCUCACUAAUGAUAUGAGCAAUAUGAAUAUGGCUGAACCUUUUACAGGUACUUCUAAACUUGUCAUUGGUAAUGGUGUUGGUUUAUUCAUAACACAUACAGGUUCUGCUGUUUUGAGAAUGAAAAGCUCUAUAAAUCAUGUUGAUCUUAAGCUAAACAAUAUUCUUCUUGUGCCUAAAAUAACCAAAAACCUGAUAUGUAUAUCAAAACUAACCAGAGAUAAUGAUGUUGUGGUAGAAUUUACUAAUGAUUUCUGUUUUGUUAAGGACAAGGUGAGGAAUUUGAUCAUGCUGCAGGGCAAAGCUGAAAAAGGAUUGUACAGAUUGCUAUUUGUCUCCUCAAAUAAAACCUCUCCUUAUCUGUCAAACCAAGGUCUUUUUGCUCAUGUUCAGUCAGAUGUCUCAACUCAACCUAUUUCCAUGUUUUCUGUUGUUGAUUCUAAAUGUCAAAAUAAAAUUGCUUCUCAGUUACAAACUGAAGCACAAUGUAGUCAAAACUCAGAUUGUAUGUUGAGUACUAUGGUUUUACACCAAAGAUUAGGUCAUCCCAAUGCUAGAGUGUUGAAUCAUGUUAUCAAUUCUUGUCCAUCUUUUAAAACCAUCGAUGGUAAUAAAGGUUUUGAUUCUUGUGAUGCUUGUAAGUUGGGAAAAAUGCACAAACUUCAUUUUCCAGUAACUGAAACCAAAACAAAAAAUGCACUUGAAAUCUUACAUACAGAUCUAUGGGGGCCUGCUCUUACACUUUCUAUACAAGGAUAUAAAUAUUAUAUCAGCUUUGUAGAUGAUUACACAAGAUUCACCUGGAUCUUUCCUUUAAAAACCAAAGUUGAAGCAUUUCCAGUGUUCAAAGUUUUCAAAGCUCAAGUAGAGAAACAAUUAGAUAAACCUAUCAAGUGUCUUCAAUCUGAUUGGGGUGGUGAGUAUAGAUCACUUGUUCAUUUUCUUUAAACAGAGGGGAUUCAGUUUAGACACUCCUAUCCAUAUACUCACAAUCAAAAUGGACUUGUGGAAAGAAAACAUAGACACAUCACUGAGUUGGGUUUAACCUUGCUUGCACAAGCCAAGUUACCUAUAAAAUUUUGGUGGGAUUCUUUUCAUACAGCUACCCACAUUAUAAACAAACUUCCAACUCCUGUUCUUUCCUUGAAAACCCCUUAUGAAUAUCUAUUCCAUCAAAAACCAGACUAUCCAUUUCUCAAAACUUUUGGUUGUGCUUGUUUUCCUUUCUUAAGAGAUUGCAAUCAUCACAAGUUUCACUUCCAUACUUCUAAAUGUGUUUUCUUAGGAUACAGCCCUUUACACAAAGGCUACAAGUGUCUUCAUCCAUCAGGAAGAAUUUACAUAGCUAGUCAUGUUUUUUUUUAUGAAACUUCCUUUCCAUAUUCUACUGAUUCUACCUUCUUACAGUCUAUGCCAUCUAAAUCUUCUGACUUCCUUUAUAAUUCCUUACAAGUAUAUCACAUCUCAGUUCCUAAUAGCAAUCAGAAUCCUUUAGCAGCUGCUCCUGCAGAUACAGAUUCUCAUGCCUCCAGUUCUACUCACAACAUCAUCUCUCUUCCUAUUCCUACAUCACAAGUAAUUUCCACCUCACUGAUUUCACCAAAUAAUACUAUAUCUUCACCCAUUGUCCACACAACAUCACCAGCUGCUACCAUAAACAUUAUACCAAACACUACAACUUCACCUGCAAUACUACAAAAUUCACCUUCCAGAUCACUUCCCUCAGCUACAACCAUAAACACUCAUUCUAUGAUUACUAGAGCUAAAGCUGGCAUAUUCAAACCAAAGGCCUUCUUGACAGAUCAUAACAGCCUAGAACCUUCCAAUGCUGGAGAAGUCUUAUCUGAUACUAAGUGGAAGGCAGCAAUGCAAGAUGAAUAUAAUGCUCUCAUUAGAAACAAAACCUGGAGCUUAGUACCAAUGAAUCCCGAAUACAAGUUAGUAGGCUGCAAGUGGGUUUUUAGAACUAAAUACAAUACUGAUGGUUCAGUCUCUAAGUACAAAGCUCGCUUAGUUGCAAAAGGGUUUCACCAAACUGCUGGGAUAGAUUACUCAGAAACUUUUAGUCCUGUAGUGAAAUCUUCUACUGUCAGGGUUAUUCUUAGCUUGGCAGUCAUGCAAGGCUAGAAUGUUAGACAAAUUGAUGCCAAUAACGCAUUUCUUAAUGGGGAUCUCAUUGAGGAUGUGUACAUGCAACAGCCAGAGGGUUUUGUUUCAGAGGGAGGAUACAUCUGUAAACUAAACAAAGCUCUUUAUGACUUAAAACAAGCUCCAAGAGCCUGGUAUGAUAAGUUUAAGGGAUGUCUUACAAGUUGGAAAUUCACUAAUUCUAAGGCUGAUACUUCUCUGUUUAUUAGGCAUGAUGUCAAAGGCAUAAUUCUUGUCUUAAUAUAUGUGGAUGACAUUCUGAUCACUGGACCAGAUUCAGACUUGCUGGAAUCUUUUAUUGCUAAGCUCAGCAAAGUUUUUGCAUUAAAAGACUUGGGUCUAGUAACAUAUUUCCUUGGUGUAGAAGUCAGCUAUACAGAUCAUGGAAUGCACUUCCCUCAGACCAAGUACAUCAAGGAUCUGCUGUCCAAAGCCUCAAUGCAAGACUACAAAGGAACUGACACUCCUUUCAGCACAGGCUACAAGUUGGAAAGGUCAACAAAAGGCUUAUUGGGUGCUGAAUUUGAGAAUCCAACCCUCUAUAGAAGCAUUGUUGGAGGUUUGCAAUACUUAAUCUUAACCACACCAGACAUUGCAUAUUUAGUGCAUAAGCUUAGUCAGUACCUCAGUGCUCCUACACUUCAACACUGGUUAGCUUGUAAAAAAGUGCUCAGAUACCUUCAAGCUACUGUCACAUAUGGUCUCUAUAUUUAGCAGGAGGGAACUCUGGAAACUAUAGGACUAACAGGAUAUUCAGAUGCUGAUUGGGCAUGUGAUAUUGAUGCCAAAAAAUCCAUUGGAGCAUAUUGCAUUUUCCUUGGUAAUAAUUUGGUUUCCUGGUCUUCAAAAAAGCAAGCCAUUGUAGCAAAAUCUAGUACUGAGAGUGAAUACAGAGCCUUGUCAGCAGCCAGCUCUAAACUUUCUUGGCUGCAAUCAUUAUUCUCUGAGCUCAACAUCACAAAAUUACCAACUUCUGUUCUAUGGUGUGAUAACCAGAGUGCUGGAGAUCUACCUAGAAAUCUAGUUUUUCACUCAAAAUCAAAACACAUAGAGCUAGACAUUCAUUAUAUUAGAGACAAGGUUCUUAACAAAGAAUUGGAAGUGAGGUACAUUCCCACUAAAGAGCAAGUUGCAGAUGUUCUUACUAAGCCCCUGUCAUUUCCUAAGUUUAGUUAUUUUCGUUCCAAGCUCAAUGUGUUCAACAGACCCUUGAGCUUGAGAGGGGAUGUUAAGGAAGCUCACAUGAGCAGAGUAGUCAGUGGAGCAGAGGAUUGCAACACCUGCAGCUUGCUGUUACAGGUUGAUGACAUGGCUUGCCAGCUGGAGCCUGGUGGUUAUAUAGUCUCUUGCACACAUGAAGAUUAGUAGAGUUUGUUAUAGUAUUUAUUGUGCUUGUAAUUCAGUUUUAAUUAGUUAUAACCAGCUGAUUAGCACUUGCAAUUAGUUGAGAAUCAGUUCUAAUUACUACUGAUGUAUAUAAACAGAAGUAUGUACAGAUUCAGUCAAUUAAUGACUUGAGAUAAUAAAAACGAAGAAAGAGUUUUAGAAUUCUCUUAUUUUCCCUUAAGUUUUUUCUGUUUCCAAACAUCAUUGAAUUCUUACUCUCCCCCAAACAUACCCUAUGUCUAGGCAGCUUGUGGAACCUCAUUUUAUUGCUAAAGAAAAAUAGGCUGGUCACACCCUAUGCUUGUUAUAAUAAGCUUAUUGUCAUUGAUUUUUAUUUUAAAUACAAAUUACAUCUCGUUUCUAAGCUAUUGAAUAAAUCUCGUGAAAGUAGUUUGUACACUGACUAUUGUUGUUACAUAUAUUUGGAAAUUUAGAGAACUAUUGAUGGCUUUAUGGUCCCUGCGUUUUGCUUUCCGCUGCAAGAAUUUAAGGCCAGUAUGAUGCAUAAAAGAGAAAGUUUUAAGUAGAAAUGGGGCAGAUUAUUAUAUAUUUUCAAGAUUUUUUCCCCUCCAAUUUCGGUGAGUUUAAUUAACCAAGGUUGAUUCACACAACGGAGAGGGGAAAAAAAAAAUAGGGUUCAAGUUUUAUCAAUUUUCAUCCACAACAUGGGUCCCUUUGAAAAACGGUCAGUGGUGUUGGAUCACCGAUCAUUUAGUCCAAAGUAAACCAUUCAAAGAAAAAUUUGUCUAUUGUCUGUCGACAGUAUCGUCCCGUUAUUGCACACUUCUUUUUGUCCUGAGCUAGCUCUUGAUUGAAUAGUUAGAUCUGAACUAACAUUUUUUUUUUUCGUGGCUGACUAAAGAAGACAAAGACUCUUAUCAAAUUGCCCGUAGUGGAAAAAUUUUAGGUAGCGCGGUACAAAAAUUUAGUAAGAUAGGAUUAGAUGGGGCCAUAGAUAACACAGCACAAAUGUCACACGUAAGACUGCAAAAUCCAAGUCUUUCAAAAGUAAAUUUGGCUGUGGGUAUUUGUGAUUAAUCCUUGAACCGAAAAAUUAGAAAUUGCUCUAAAAAUUGUAGAGCUAGAAAAAAGUAGAAAUUAGUGCAGAACACUCUAUAUUAAAUAAUUUAAUAGAAGAAAGAUUAGAAAAUACAAAAUUUCUAGUAGAUUGCACAUCUCCAUUAGACCCUAUAAUAAUAAUUAAAAAAAGUAAGUGUUAGAUAUUACACUCUUACGUACUUAUCUAUAGUAAAACAUAAUUACAAUAGGCAACUAAAUUUAUUAGAUCAUAUGAAAAUGUAAUUUUAAAAAUUAGAAAUAAACUAGAAUAGUUAAAGAAUUAGUUUAUGAAUUUUCAAAAACUAGCAUAUUUGGAUUUACAAAUUAGUAGUCAUAGGAAAAUAAAAUUAAACUUAAUCAUAAUAUAGAGCAUUUAGAAAAUCAAUAUAAACAUAUUCCAUAUACGAGUAAUGGUCAACAAUAGACUUAAUAAUUAAUCUUGGACAGCACUUAGAAGUUAAACUAGAAAAGCUUAAAGAACUAGUAUUACGGUUAGGACAAUUUUUUGAAGCAAGUAACAUAAAAUACACAAAGAAAGAAUUUAGACUAUAUUAAAGAGUCAUUAGCUGAUUUUAAUAGUCAAAUUACAAGGUUCGGUAAUAAAAAAGAAAUAAUAGAAUUAAUAAAAUUAUUAGACAUAAAAGCACCUAAACUAGUAGAAUUAUAAAUCAAAAGUCUUGUAAAAGUUUUAAAAGUUGAAAUAAAAAUAUUAAAAAUACACAAAGAGAUUUACAAAUACAAUUAAAUUCAAUAAAAUUAAUAGUAAAUGAAUGAGUUUAGAUAAACCGUUAAUAGAGUUCCACAAACAUUUAUCUGUAGUAAAAAAGUAGGAUAUAAUUUUAUUUUAGGAUUAAAUUUUAUAUUAGAAGAUAACAGUAGUAUAUUAACAACUACUAAUGAGAUAAAUUUCUUUAAAAAAUCAACAUUUGUACAACCUAAAUUUGAGAUGCAUAUUUUGCCUUACGAAAAGAAAUCACUAGCAAUGGAAAAAGAAGUAGAUAUUGCAUUUUUUGACUCACUAUCGGAGGAAGAAAAUGCAGUAGAUAGCAAGAUAGAAAGCACUAAGAAUUACAUAAUUAAGUUACACAGAGAUUUAAUAAUUAUAGAAAAAUAGGUAAUCCAUAAUUAGAAGAUAUAGAAAUAAAUAUGCCUAUAGUAAAAAAUUUAAAUACAGAUAAAGAGAAAACUCUACAUAAUAUUAGAGAUAAGAUUAUAGAAUUAAUAUUUAAUAAUCCUAAAAAAUGUUUAGAUGAAGAAUUAUUUGAAGAAUUAUGUAAUAAUGAGGAAUUAACAUAUGAUGAUGUAGAUUAAAAAAAUUCCUAUUUCUUUAAGUUUUUGUAUUAAUUUAAUAUCUUCACUAUAAAAUUUAAAAUACUUUUGUCCAUUUUUACUUAAUUUAUUAUAUAAUGGUCUCAUUAAUGUACUAAGAUUUUGGUAUAAAUUUCUUAUUGUAAUUUAACAAUCCUAAGAAAUUUAAUAUGCCAUAGAAUAUUUGAUUGGCUACUGAAAUAAAAUUUUUUUUACAAUGUCUAUACUAUCACCAAUGAGGGAAGAAAUUUUUUGAAUUUUUAUUAAUUGUCCUACUGGGGAAUGGUUAAAUAUUUUUUCUAGUGCUUGCUUUUGUUGAAGUGUUUUGAGUUUUCUGGUGAUAACUGAUAAGUAAUAAAAUCUGACAUUGAUUUUGCAGUACUAUAUUUUGUCUAAAUAAUUCAUUAUUAGUACUUUCUAAUGCAAUUAACUUUUGUCUACAUUCUUUAAUGGCUUUCAAUGAUCAUUCAAGGUCUCUGUACUUUUCACUCCAUUCUUUUUAUGCCGCUAAUUUAAAAAAAUGCAAGCAAAGAUUCAUUUUCACUUUUGUACAUUAGCUACACAGUAUAAAGAACAAUUGAAAAAAGAAUCUGGAAUUUUCUUGCACUUUACUUUCCCCGUUUUUCAUGCUUGAGCUACAGAGCUAGCCCGAAAAUAUUAUAAGCGGACCCCAAACAAUAAUUAUGUGUUCCUGGUUGACUUGAAAAAUCGAAGUCUUUGGGUCGUGCCUCUGAUAUUUAUUAACACAUAACAUAAGCAUCCACCGAAGACUGAGCCACUGAAGUGCUGAUUCGUGAAGGAUCCACCUGUAUUUAAUUGAAGGAAACUGAAUUUAAGCUUUGCUUCAUUUACUUUAAUUUUCCUUCGUAAGUGACUUGUUUAUUAAUUUGAUGAUAUACUUAUAGAGUCCUACUGAACUUAUGAUCAGGCUAUAUAUUAUUACAAUUAUUGUAUACGGUGACCAUGAUGAAGAUGAUUUUUUUUUUUCCAAGGUCUCAGGACUUGAAUGAAUUUAGAGGAAGGAACGUCGAGACUGGUUUCUGGCGUUGAAAUGAACAGGACCAGUAGGAUCAUGAGAGGAGUAAGAGAAAUAAAUGUUUGUCCAUUUCUGCGUAUUCCGCAGGGUGAAGUAAGAGAAAUAACUGUUUUUGGAGUUCCAUUUCUCUAUAUUCCGCUGCAUGAGGCUUUCUGGCUGUGUUGUUUGUAUUCAAUGGUAUUGGAUCCUGUUUUCUUGUACAUUCCUGUGACCAACGAUGAGAAAAAGUGCUUCCAAUUUGACAGAUGGGUGAUGAGUGUGGUUAUUGCUGAACGUUCAGCAUUUGGUAUAUGGUAUUUGACAAAUAGAACUUCAGAAAUACGGGAGAGUCUACAUCGAAAUUAUAGCAAAUCUCUGUUGCCCGUCUUCCUACUUGAUCUCUCCAUCAUUCUUCCACUCCCACAGGUCAAUGUUUGUUCUGUCUACUUUUAAUUUAUUUGUUCCAACUUGCGAAGGAGGGGCACACACGCACACCUCUGACCGCCCAAAGUAAUUUAUGUUGGAUUCCUAGCAAGCUGUUUGAAAGCUUAAAAGCUUGAAUGAAUAGACUGUUUGGUUACUGAGAAAAUGUAUUUAAAGUGCUAAGAAAAUUUGUAAAAGACUUCUGAAUCAAAUGCUUUAUUUCAUUUUACUUAAUAACAAAAUGAUUACAAGAUGCUUGUAUUUAUACUCAACUGUUUACAGCUUAACAGAAAAUAAAGAAGCUAACUGAAUAUGAUCUUAACGUGUCUAACUAACUUCAGCUGAGCUGGCACUUCACUCUUCAAUUGAUUCAGCUGACUGUAUUCAUCUCACACGUGUGCUGCAUCCUUCCAUGCAUAAUGAGCUUCCUUGACAGCCCCCCUCAAACUCAAGGGGCAUGGUUGCACAUUGAGUUUGUCUAUGAAAUAAUUGAAAUGAAUGAAUGUCAGAGGCUUUGUCAAAGCAUCAGCAAUUUGCUCCUCGCUGGGAAUAUAGUUAAUCUCUAACUCCUUUGCCAAAACUUUGUCUCUAAUAAAGUGCAUAUCCAGUUCAAUGUGUUUAGUCCUUGAAUGAUAAACUGGAUUCUUGGCCAACUCUGUUGCACUUAUAUUAUCACACCAGAUAGUCGGUAAUGAAGUACACUUAAUGUUGAGUUCACUGAAUAAUGGCUGGAUCCAUGUUAUCUCUGCACUUGCAGAAGCCAGAGCACGAUAUUCACUCUCUGCACUGGAUCGUGUAACCACAGCCUGCUUCUUGGAUGACCAUGAAAUUAGAUUGUUUCCAAAAUAAAUGCAACAUGCUCCUAUUGAUUUUCUGUCAUCAACAUCACAUGCCCAAUCUGCAUCUGUAAAUCAUGUGAUCUUCAUUUCCCCACCUGCUGAAAACUUCAAACCAUGAUCUGCAGUUUCCUUAAGGUAUCUAAGAACUCUUUUACAAGCCAUAACAUGCUGGAGUGUUGGAGCUGUCACAUACUGGCUCAACUUAUGCACAUCAAAUGCUAUCUCUGGUCUGGUUAAUACCAGAUAUUGUAAACCUCCAACUAAGCUUCUAUAGCUUGUUGCAUCCUCAAUAUAUUGACCCAAACAGCCUUUGACUUCUUUCUGAAGCUUUGUUCCAGUAACUAUGGGAGUGUCACAGCCUUUACAAUUUUGCAUAUCAGCUUUGGAUAACAAAUCCAAGAUAUAUUUCUUCUGAGAUAAAUAGAUGCAGUCUUUAGCAUAGGAAACUUCUAUCCCCAGAAAAUAUGACAGAAUUCCCAAGUCUUUUAAGGCAAAAGUCUUACUGAAUUCUUAGAUGAAUUUUUCCAGCUCACCAUUAUCAGGUCUUGUUAUUAGAAUGUCAUCAACAUAGAUUAAGAUAAGUAUCAUUGAACCCUGCACUUCUUUGAAGAAGAGAGAGGUAUCAGCCUUUGAAUUCUGAAAUUUCCAAUUAGCAAUAAGACAAUUCUUAAGCUUGUCAUACCAAGCUCUAGGAGCUUGCUUCAAGUCAUACGAGGCUUGAUUAAGCUUACAUAUAUGAUUGGGUUUUUGUUGAUCAAUAAAACCUUCAGGCUAAUACAUAUAGACAUCCUCUGUCAAGUUUCCAUUCAAGAAGGCAUUAUUCACAUCCACUUGCCUUAUUUUCCAUUUAUGCAUCACAGCUAAACUCAGAACAAUCCUUAUUGUUGAAGCUUUUACAACUAAGCUAAAGGUCUCAAAGUAAUCCACACCUUCAGUUUGCUGAAAACCUUUGGCAACCAACCUGGCCUUGUGUUUGGCUAUGCUUCCAUCAGUAUUUUGCUUAAGUCUAAACACCCAUUUGUUGUCAACUACUUUGUAUGCAUUUGAAAAUGGUACCAGUGACCAAGUCUUAUUCUUUAUCAAAGCUUCAUACUCAUCUACCAUGGCUUGAUGCCAAUUCUGACUACUAAGAGCUUCUUGAACUGUACUGGGUUCUUUGUUGGCUAAGGUGACUGUAUAGACCUUUGGUUUGAAGAUUCCAGAUUUUGAUCUGGUAAUCAUUGGAUGAGAAGAUGGUUGGGAAUGAUUUCUAGUUUGAAUUUUGUCUAUGUUAUGUGGAAUAGAAGUUUCCUCUGAUUGUAGAAUGGAUGAUUGUACUGGUAAUGUGUUUGGUGAUAGUGAGGUUGAGGAUGAUAACUCUAAAGAUGUGUGUGAUGGAUGUUCUUGUUGAUUCAGAAUAUCUGUAUGUGUGGGAACAGAGGGCAUUUGUUCACUUCUUGCUGAGCCUGCUGAUUGAAGACCUUCAAAGCUGCUGUUGGGUAAGGCCAUUGUAGAAAGAUGAUAGAUAUGUUGUUGAGAGAAAUUAGACACUGAGGUUUCAGAAGAUAUGGGGUUUUCUGAUGAGUGAGAUGUAGUGUUUAUUGGAUAAGGGAAUGUGUUUUCAUAAAAAAUGACAUGUCUAAGAACAUAGACUUUGCCAGAACUUGCUAAGCACUUGUAUCCUUUAUAAGAGGGAUUGUAUCCAAUAAAAAUGCAUUUAAAGGUGUGAAAAUCAAACUUAUGUUUGUUAAAAUCUCUCAAGUAUGGGUAGCAAAGACAACCAAAACACUUCAGGAAUGUGUAAUCUGGUUUGUGUUUGAAAAGUUUCUCUUAAGGAGAUAAGAAUUUCAGAACAGGGGUAGGCAAUCUAUUAAUAUGAUACACUGCUGUAUGAACAGCUUCCCACCAGAAUUGAAGAAAAAUGUUUGCUUGAGCCAUGAGGGUUAAGCCUAGCUCAACUAUAUGCAUGUGUUUCCUCUCAACAAUACCAUUCUGGUGAUGAGUGUAAGGACAUGAGUGUCUAAACAUUAUUCCAUUUUGAUUCAGAAAAUCAAUAAAUGCUCUAAACUCUCCCCCAAGGUCAGAUUGUAGCCUCUUAAUUUUGGUAUCAAACUGAUUCUCAACUUGAGUUUUGAACAAUUUAAAAACUUCAAAUGCUUGUGAUUUAACAGUUUCUAUGUUAUCUGCUUUCAAACACUGUGAUAAUAGUACUCGAGCUUGCUAUCAGUUUGUUUUAAAUAAGUGUAAUGUCAAACCUGAUAUGAUAACUUUGUUACAUAGAAAGUUUGGUCAUCCAAGCUCAAUGACAUUGGUGCAUUUGCUCAAAUCAUGUAAACAGUUUAAAGUCUCUCCAAAAGACAUGUUAUCUUCUGCAAAUACUUUAUGUGAAGCAUGUCAGCUAGGCAAAGUCCAUAAGCAACAUUUCUCAAUAACUGAAACAAAAACAAAAGGGGUAUUAGAAUUGAUUCAUACUGAUCUUUGGGGGCCUUCACCCACUGUGUCUAGAGAUGGAUACAAAUACUAUAUUAGUUUUGUGGAUGAUUAUACUAGGUACUCUUGGAUCUAUCCUCUUAAGCUCGAGUACUAUUAUCACAGUGUUUGAAAGCAGAUAACAUAGAAACUGGUUUAUUUGGUUGGGAUUUACAAAGAUAAGAUGUAGGUGAUGAAGAAAGAGAAUUAGAUUUCAGCAGCAGCUUGUAAAGGCCUUUUUCAGCAAUACCCUGCAGAAGAACUUGACCCUUUAUGUCCUUCACAAAACAAACAUUUCCACAAAAUUCAACAGAUACAGGAUUAUCAGAUGUGAGUUUGGAAAUACUUAAUAGAUUUUUGGCAAUUGAAGGAGCAAGUAACACAUCUUUAAGUGUUAUUCUAGCAUGUGUAGAUAAAGAUUUAGAAGCUCUUAAUACCAGAAAUGCAUGUCCAACAUGAGUAAUAGACAAACCUUGACCAUUUCGAAUGAUAAGCUGAUCAGUACCUUUAAACUCUUCAUUGAUAUGCAAAUUCUCCAUAUUGUUGGUUAAAUGGUGAGUUGCCCCACUAUCCAGAUACCAUCCAUCAUCAGCAGUCCCUUCAAAAUUAGCCAUGAAAGCUGUUCCAGCUGCUCCAGAAGUGUAUCCAUCCGUUCUAGAAUAGUAACUAUUGCCAGAUAUAGAAUCAUAACCUGGAAACAUAUUAUUAUUUUCAUAGCCAAAAUCUGGAUUAGAAGUAGAGCCAUCAAAGUUUGAGAAAUAUGCUGCUCUUGGUGUUUUUUCCCUGCCAAAACCUCUUGGAACAGGUACAAAGUCUUCAACAAAUCGGUGCCAACAAACAUCAGCUGUAUGACCAUUCUUAAAGCAAAUCUGACAUACCAGCUCCCCAGCAUUAUUAAAGCUUCCUUGUGAUCCACUCAUAUUAGCACCAUUUCUAGCUAGAAAGGAUGAGUUCUUAGGUACUGGAUUCCUAGGAGCUGAAAAAUGAUUGAAAUCAGCUGAGUUAUUUCUAGGAAAAAAUCCUCUGCCAUAUCCAUUUCUAACACCUCCAUUAAAUAUUCUUGGAGAGUAAUUCAUAUUUGCUCUGCCAAAGAAAGGAGUUCUACCACCAGAAUAACCUCCUCGUUUAAAACUUCCUCUACGUUGUGCAAAAUAAGCUCUAGGAUAAUAUGCAUUCGUAUAUGCAUAGUUUGCAUUAAACAUACUUCUGUCACCUUGCUCCUGCUCUAAUCUAGUCUCAUGAGUGAGUAACAGUGCAUAAGCAUCAUCAAAUUCCAUUCGUGAACCAUUUAUAAAUGUAGCAAUAUCACGAACUCCUGGUCCUAAUCCAUUAAGAAUAGUUAACAUAAGAUCCUUCUCUGUAAUUGAACUACCAGCAUUGGCUAGCUUAUCAGCUAUUGCUUUUAUUUUAAUACAAUAAUCUUCAACACUAAGAGCUUCCUUUUUAAGAAUGUUUAGUUCAUAUCUGAGCUGAAGAACUCGAGCUUCAAAUUGAACUCCAAAUUUCUUUUCCAAAGUUUUCCAUAUAUCAAAUGAACUCUCACAAUUGAUAACAAGACUUAAGAUACCUUCACUUAAUGAUGACAGUAGCCAGCCAAGAAGUGUCUGAUCCUGUGAUCUCCAGAUCUGAUAUUCUGGAUUUUCAAUUUGUUGUGUAGAUCCAUUUGCUUGAGUUAACAGAAGACACUUAUCAGGUACUGAUUUGGCUCCUGUGACGAAAUCUUCCAAACGAUUGCCUCUUAUUGAAGCUAAAACUUGAGAGCGCCAGAGUAAGUAAUUUGAUCGAUCUAACUUGAUAGGAUUAGUAAAGGAGAAGUUGAUUUGAGUAGAUUGAUUUGUGUUGUUUGUUGUUUGAUUACGAAAGCUUGACUGUUGAUUACUAGAACUAGCUCUGUAUGGCUCUGAUACCAUGUUUGAAAGCUUAAAAGCUUGAAUGAAUAGACUGUUUGGUUACUGAGAAAAUGUAUUUAAAGUGCUAAGAAAAUUUGUAAAAGACUUCUGAAUCAAAUGCUUUAUUUCAUUUUACUUAAUAACAAAAUGAUUACAAGAUGCUUGUAUUUAUACUCAGUUGUUUACAGCUUAACAGAAAAUAAAGAAGCUAACUGAAUAUGAUCUUAACGUGUCUAACUUACUUCAGCUGAGCUGGCACUUCACUCUUCAAUUGAUUCAGCUGACUGUAUUCAUCUCACACGUGUGCUGCAUCCUUCCAUGCAUAAUGAGCUUCCUUGACACAAGCAUGUAUAGGUUGUAUUUUGUACGAUUAAUUUUCUUUUUUUUUUAAUAUUUACAAACUAUUCAGGUGUUGGUGCUUCUAGCUUAUAGUCAAAGAAUUAGUGGCCAGGAAUUUUUCUCUCUGAUGAACCUGUUUCUUGUACAACAUGGGUUAAAGGUUAUCCGAUUGGCUAAAUUGAUUACAGAAUGGAAGAAUUCAUAUAACCUUAAUAAAUGGGCCAAUCUGACGUUCAAUUUCGGUUACCUACAGGCUGCUAACGUAAGUUUACUUGCCUCUUAAGUCUCCAAAAUGUUCUAUUUCUCUUUACUGUUUUUUGGGUAAUUUAUAGUUCCUGGUGAUCUACUUGACGGUUCUUUAGGUGUUUGGAUCAUUAUGGUACUUUUUCGCUGUACAAAGAAAGGCUGAAUGUUGGAAGAAAGCCUGCACAGAUUUUACCAGAUGUGAUUUCCUUCCUUUGCACUGCGAUGACAGUUUAACAAACUACACAUUUUUUAGUGAUUUUUGCUCUACAAAGACCCAAAAUGCAACUAUCUAUGAUUUUGGGAUAUUCCGUGAUGCUAUUCAAUCGGGUGUUUUGGAUCAAAACUAUUUUUUUCGGAGGUACUUGCCUUGUUUUCAAUGGAGCCUGCAAGCUCUCAGGUUAAGGCUUACAUUUAUCUUGAGCAAUAAGCACAAAGAUCCAAUUCUACUAGUGAGCAAAAAACACGAGGGACAUGAUAAGACUUGCAGCCUCUCGGGGCCAAAAGUUUGGUUAAUGAACCGUAGAUUGAGACUAUGCAUAUGGAUAAGUUCUAACCUCAAGUCGUAACUAUUAGUUGCCUGCGGCCCCAACUCAAUCAAAAGGUGCUACAGAAAUUACAUAUUUAUUGGAAAUUUUUUUUUUUUGGUUGUUUGAUUAAUUGUGCAUGAAGUCAAAGUCUUGAGGAACCACAGUGUCUAGAUACUUAUUAGCACAUAAGAUAAGCAUGCUCUGAACUCCGAAGACUCAGCCACUGAAGUGAUGAUUUGUGAAGGAUCCACCUGUAUUUAAUUGAAGGAAACUGAAAUCAAGCUUUGCUUCAUUUACUUAAAUUUCCCUUCCCCUUCGUUGAUUAUGUAAGCCUUAAGCGAGUUGUCUAUUAAUUUAAUGACAUACGUAUAGAACCCUACUGAGCUGAAGUGCAAGCUAUGUAUUAUUACAAUUAUCGUAUAUGGUGAUGACGAUGAAGUUGACUUUAUUUUUUCAGGUCUCGGGACUUGAAUUUAGAGGAAGGAACGCCGAGACGAGUUGCUAGUGUUGAAAUGGACUGCAUCAGUUGGAGCGCGAGAGAAGCAGCAAAAUCUGUUUAUCGCACUCUGAACGAAAGCUUGGGUAAUGGAGGAAAAACAUGCCUUCAGCAGAUUCGUGAUCUGCCGAUACGUUUCCUGGAAGUUAAUUUUUUGCUGAUUUAUGUGUAUUCCAUGGUAUUUGAUCCUGUUUUCUUGUACCUUCCCGUGAUCAACGAUGACAAAAAGUGCUUCCAAUUUGACAUAUGGGCUUUGAGGGUGGGUAUUGUUGAACGCACAGGAUGUGAUAUAUAUUUUUUGAUAAAUAAUGCUUUUCAACUAUGGGAGAAUUGGCAUCGAAAUUAUAGCAUAUCUCUGUUGCCCGUCUUCCUAUUUGAUCUCGCCAUCAUUCUUCCACUCCCACAGGUAAAUGUUUGUUCUGUCGUACUUUUUACUUAUUUGUUCCAAUUAGCCAAGCAAGGGCACGCGCGCACACCUAUGGACGCCCAAACCAAUUUAUGUUGGAUUUCUAGCAAGCACACAGGUUGUAAUUUUUUUCUUUUCAUAUGGAAUCAUAUUUCAUAAUUGAUAAUUCUAUCUUUAUGGUGUACAAACUGUUCAGGUGUUGGUGCUUCUAGUUUAUAGUAACGUGAUGAGUGGCAAGAAAUUUUUCUCUGUGAUGAACCUGUUUAUUGUCCAACAUUUGCUAAAGGUUAUCCGAUUGUAUGCAUUGAUUAAAGAAAGGAAGAAUUCAUAUAAACAAACUAAAUGGGCCAGGCUCACGUUCAAUCUCUUUUACCUACAUGCUGCUAAUGUAAGUUUACUUGCCUCCCAAGUCUCCAAUAUAUUCUAUUUCUCUUUACUCUUUUUGGGUAAUUUAUAAUUCCUGAUGAUCUAAUUGAUGGUUGUUUAGGGGUUUGGAGCAUUAUGGUACUUUUUUGCUCUACAAAGAAAGACCGAAUGUUGGAGGAAAGCCUGCACAGAUUCUGCCAAAUGCCGUCUCCUUCCCUUACACUGUGACAACAGUUUAACAAACUACACAUUUUCUAAUGAUUUUUGCUCUACAAAGACUCAAAUUGCAACUACCUACCAUUUUGGGAUAUUCUAUGAUGCUAUUAAUUCUAGUGUUAUUGAGCAAAACAAUUUAUUUCUGAGGUUCUUCCCUUGUAUUCGAUGGAGCCUGCAAAAUCUCAGGUUAAGUUGUGGAUAUACAUCAUUCUCCUUGUAACAAUCUUUGUGCAUAUGCCUUUCUAUGUUUUUGGUGCAUAUAAUUACGCAUACGUAUUUUUAUGUUUUUUUAGCAAUUAAACUCAAAAACAUUAGUUCUAAUAAAUUUGUGGGUUUGACUUUGCAGUUCUUUUGGUCAAGGUCUCCCAUUCAGUACCAAUGUCUUGGAAAACAUCUUUGUGAUUUCAAUUACCAUCACUGGGGUAGUGCUGUUUUUCUUCUUGAUUGGAAAGGUCCAGGUUGGUGUAUCUUUAUUUUAUUUUAUUUUAUUUUAUUUUCUCGUCUGAUUCUUGUCUCUUAAAAUGGGUUCUUUAUGGUUGAUUGAGAUGAAGCACAAUAAAUUUUAAUUUUCUAUGAACUAUGAUUCUUGCGCAAUUUGCAGUCUGAAAUGUCAAAAGCAGAGGAGAUAAGACAGAAGGUACAAGAAAUAUACAAGUGGCGGCCCGUUGAAAAGCUCCCUGAGAAACUCCAAAUGGAGAUCAAGGAACAUCAGUUAUCCAAAGUGCAAGAAACCACAGGUAUUGAUGUAGAAUAUCUGGUGAACAAUCUUCCAGAGGACCUCAGGAAGAACAUAAAACAAAAACUCUGCUUAGACCUGCUAAAAAAAGUGAGUAAGAGAUCUUUACAACUAUAUUUGUGCCUCCUACUUCUGAAUUUGUGGAACUGACAAAGGAGAGGCUAGCAGCAUAUAAACAACAAUCCGAAAAACUAAUGAAAAUAUUUUCCUCUUCUUUAACUCGAUCGAAUAAACUCAAGGGUAAAUGUUUGUAACUAUUUGAACUUUUGCAUGGUUUUGAAAGCGCAAUAGCUAAAGUCCACAUCACCUCAACAUAAACUCAACCCUGAUAUGUUUUUAGCGUUGGGGAAUGAAUCUCAUUUUAGCUGAGAUAGUUCUAGAUCAACUUUUAUUUUCAAUUUUCUGCAUUCAGAAGCUGAAUUUCAUUAUCAGCAUUGAGCCUUUUAGAUUACAGUAACAAUAUUGGAUGUAUGUUUGUAUAGGUAGAAGAGUUUGGAAACUUGGAUGGUUCAUCGUUGGAGAAACUGUGUGAUGUUGUGAAGCCAGCUGUCUUCACAGAGCGCUCUUACAUUAUCCAGGAGGAAAACCCAAUUGAUCAAAUGCUCUUCGUGCUACAAGGCAAGUUAUGGACCUACACUUCCAGGAGGGUAACUGAAUUAUCAAGCAAUUCUGGUAACCUGAACAACCAUCUGGAAGGUGGUGACUUUUCUGGAGAAGAACUCAUUGCUUGGGCGAAGGCUGGCCACAACUCAUCCAACCUCCCUAUAUCAACUAAAACAAUCCAAGCGCUUACAAAAGUUGAAGCAUUUGUUCUUAUGGCAUAUGAUUUAAAGCAGGUACUAUUGAAUAUUGAUAAUUAAGCAAAACAAUGCAGCUACCGUAUGCAAGUAUUCUGACAAACUAGAUGGAGUGCGCAAGCGUCGGCUACUAAAAUAAUAGUUUGAGCAUUCAGAUCAGAUGCGGCAUCGUUAGUAUUUUAGGGCGUGUUCAUGAUCUUAAUUAAGGACCUAUCCCAAGAAUAAAUUUGGACGGAAGUAUAUGAGUUUGAGAUAUUCGAAACCGAAGCCUGAUACAGUUGAUGUGUAUAUAUAUGAAGUUAGCAUUACUCCGUUAUAGUGUUUGAUUAUAUAUAUUUUCUAUGUCCUAAUUUCUAGUUCGGAUGGCAGUAUGGACCGUCUCUUUUCCAGCAAAAUGUAUCAUUCAGAAAUUAUGCGUACACCAAGGGAGUAAGCAUUUAACUGCUAAACUUCAGUCCGUAAUGGAAUUACCAAGCUCUAACACACGCGCGCAGAGUUGACUCACAAGAGAACUUAACAAACUAAUAUCUUGGCUUGCUUGUGGCACUGUCAGCACUCAGUAAAGAUGGGAAAAUUCUUAGGUGACUUGGAUGAUGAAGAUAAUAGAAAUUAUAACUAGUAGAGAUACAUCGAAUGAUAUUAAAUUAGUGUGUUCCUGAUUUUAAUAUUUAUUCCAUCCUAUAAUGGGAAAAUUUUAUUAAUCAAUCCAUCGCUAAGAUGGCCACUGGCAAAACUUUUAUAAUAAAAGAAAAUCUAAAUUGAACGAUAAUCAUAUAAUUUUCAUGAAGUUUAAAAGUAAGCUAUUAAUAUAAUAAAAUAAGUAUUAAUUGUCAAAUGAGAACUGUUGAUGUUGAAAUCUGCUCGCCCUUUACCCGACCAGAUUUUCCACCAACGUUUAUAUGUUUGAUGGGACGAUGUCACUCUCUCCUUGCCUUAACGACCGCUUACGUCACUAGGUUGAAAUCACCCCUUUUUAUCUCGCUAAUCCUGCAUUCACAAAGAAAUGGAUCAGAGACGCCGGUGGUUUUACCGGCGUAAACCCUCCGAUGCCUAAGUUAGCACAAGGUGUUUACGGGAAAACGGUUCAAUUUAGAUUUCAGAAUGGCUUACGAUUCGCUCUCAAUUUAGGCAGAAAAACAGUCUAGUUUCAUUUUGGCAGAGUUUUCCCUCUCUCUCAGUUUUCUUAUCUCUUUUUCAUUGGUUUCUUCCUCUUUUAUAGCCGCUGUCCCACGUUUCUGAUCACCCUUCAUCCCCCCUUUCUCGGGUCAUGGCAGCCCCUCAUGGGACUCCAACUGCUACAUUGUGGGCAAACAUGGGACAUCGUGUCUCCCUCAACAGUUCUGGGAAAAGCGCAACUGUCGAGAUCUUGUGAGAUCGUGUUCCCGCUCUUUGGGGAAUGAGUAUCUGCUCGGUAUAUGUCUCUGGUCGGUGUAUCCCCCUGGCCGGUACUCAUCUUUGGUCGGUCCAUGCUUGUAUAAGGCUCAUUAUCAGUGCUCUGCUCGUACCAUUUGGCUGAGGUGACCCACCCCGGGGUGGGGAUGAUGAUAUGGCAGAGCUGAUGCUCUUAUUUACUUAACAAGAACCAUGAUACAUUGCUAUAAUCAGAUCAUCAACAAAGUCUCCAAGGUCAAGCUCAAGGCGUAACCCCUCGUCUACAUAUAUCAUAAUCAUCCUAUAAACUAUAACAUGGGAAGCACUAAAUCUCGCUAAUCAUAAAUAAAUGGGAUGAUUGCUAUGAAUCAUUAGGACGCGCAGAUUCGUUGACUUGGAGUUGGAGAAUCACUAAGUACGCUCACCUCCCUCUUCAAAAAUGCAGGCAACGCGGAGGCAACUAUAUAAUUGAAUCUGUCAACACAACACAAAUAUUAAAUGCAGGCCAUCAUACUUUCUCAUCUAACACAGUAACACUACCAAAAUAUUAACUCAAUGACAAUUCAACCACACAAGCAUUUAGGUUAUCUAAGAAAAAGAAUCAAGAAGCAACGACCAAGGAAAGCUAGACUUGAAAUGAGGAGCCUUUACCUCUGAGGUAUAGAACCUUAAUUCUCUUUUAUGCUUGUCAGCUCCAUCCAACUUCUCAAUAGGAUAGAUGGGGUUCGCAAAAUCAACAUGAGGUCCCUCUGUUGAGCAUAUCAGAAACCCAAUGACACCACCGUAACCAAGAAAAGAACCCUCAAUCGUAAAAAGAUUUCACAGGAUACAUUCAAUUCCAUAACCAAAUCUUGUGUCUGGACUUAUGCAAUCUAAAGCAUAAACAACAAAUUUCCCACUUCUCAAAACAUCAUUAAGUAGAAAAUUCAAAGUUUGAACUUAAUGAUAAAAACAAUUGAGAUUAAUAUCGUUUCUGAAGCUGUCAAACUUCAAAAAAAUGAUUAUCAAAAGAUUAAUAGAACUACAGAUAUCAAUAGAACGGAGUGCAACAUUACCUUGGGUAUAUUGCCAAAACAUCAAACAGUUAUUUUCCUAAACAAGCAACAGUAUUUUAUAUAAUCUUAAAAAUUUUCCAAAACAUAAGUACCAAGUUUAUAUUGCCGAAACAGAACCAUUUGACAAUUUAAAUAUAAGUUAGCCACCCAUUUUAUUCAGUACAUGAAAUGAAUAAAUAAACGCUAAUGCAUCCAUAACUCUUUAUGAACACUAAUUAUUCUUGAAAUAAAAUUUUUUUUUGUGACAAUCGCUUUACUUAUUAUUUAUUGUAAUUCGUCCUUAAUCUGAUGCCUCUGGAAGAUUUAUAAUUCCUAUGGCCAUCCAAAAUGCAUAAAUAAAUGCUCAUCAGUUGAGGCCUUGUAAGCUGUGAAAGAUUACUUAUUGACUUUGGAAAGAGUUUUAAUUUAACAAUCACAUUAUCUUGAUUUGUAUGUUUUAAGUUUAAAUAUUUGUAAUAAUAGAUUACAGAUAAUGAGAUAAAUAUAACUAAAUUAUUGGAUUCAAUUUAUAAGAGAGAAAAAUUCUUUGGUACUUGAAGAGUAUUAUUUUUUAUCUAUUCAUUUUAAUAUGUAUAUAAAAUAUUAUUACGAAUAAUUAAUAUAUAACCACAAUAAAUAAUUAAUAAUUUAAAAAACACACAGAAUAAUAAUACACUUAAAACACUCAAUAAUUUUACCCAAUUCUUUGAUGACUGGAUAAAGAUGGCCACCGACAAUGAUAUUUACUUUAUUUUUUUUAGUUUUUGUUUGUUUUGUUCAUUGGGUGUGCAAUAAAAUUAAUCCAGAAUUUUUUUAUUAUUAAAUAAUAAAAAAUUUAAUUUUUGAUUGGUGCCGUGCACUCCUGUUGUAAAAUGGAGACAUGUAGUAGUCAUAUCGAUUUUAUUAUUGUAACUAACAAAAUUUGAAACUUGCGUGCAGUGCAAUCAAUUCAAAAUUUAAAAAUUGUGAAAGAAGUUGUUGUGCAUUUGUGCUUCUCAGUUUCCUAUCAACCACGCCCACUAGGAGUGGGCAUAUUUUAACCGAACCGAUCCAAACCGAUCAUUUGGAUCGGUUUCAUUAGUAAAAAAACUGAUUUUAGUUUAUUGGAUUGCAAACCGACAUCACUCGGUUUGGAUUUCGGUUUGGAAGGAUUCCAAACCGAUUCAAACCGAUCCAAUCUAGAAAUAUUAUAUAAUUACAUUAUAUUCUAAGUUAAGCAAUCUAACUAAUUAUAUUUAUCAUUUUAUGCAGAUUUUGACAAAUCAAAAGUAAUUGGGCCAUAAGUUUUGACGGACAAGAUGCACAAUAUUUUAAUUGUCAAAUGUUGUUUAAGUUUAUUUUAAUUUUGUGAGUUUGUUUUGAAUGAACAUGUUAAGAACAUCUUUAUUAGGAUGUAUUAUGCUGCAAACUUGUAUGGAUGUAUCUUUGAAUUGUUAUGUAGAUAUCAAAGUAGAUAUGAAUAAUAUAAAAGAGGUAUCAAUUUGGAUUACGGACACAAAAAAAAACAAAUAAUUUAGGUAAAAUAAUAUAAAAGAAGUGGGCUUUUAGCUAAUAAGCUCAAACCGAGGAUCCAAACCGAUCCAAACUGAUCCAAUCAGUUUGGAUCGGUUCGGUUUGAAAAAAUUUUAGGUUGAUAUCGGUUUGAAAAUAUUUCAAACCGAUCCAAACCGAAUUUGCCCACCCCUAACGCCCACACACUUGCCUUUGCGAAUACACGGCUUCACAAAAAUUAAGAUUACGUGAUUCACCCAUUCGCAAGUAUUCGUAGUUCAUUAAAUAUUUUCGACUACUCUCACCAACCAAACUAACAGAAUUAAUUUUUUUUCUUUUUACCAUUGCCUAAUAAUAAUUAUGAACAGAUUGUCAUCUCAUUCAUUCACCAAUACCCAACAACAUAUAAGAACCAAGCACCUAACACAAACACGAUAUUGAAUGAAUCUUAAUAAAAAAAAAAAUCAAUGCACGAAUGUACGAGAACUGUAAUUAAAAAUUUAAUAAUUGCGAAACCAAAAUGAACAGCAAGAAGCAAGCAAACCCCUAAAAGCUUUAAUCUUUAAUUUGUUUUACCAUUAAUUUACAAAACCAAAGAAACCGAAGCCUGUUCAAGUGCCUGGUAGAAUCAGAAAUGCAUUUUUUUUUUAACCAGAAAGGGUGUUAAAAAUUGUACCUUUAACAACUUUUCAGGGAGUGAGAAAGUGUUUAUGCAAUGCACUUGAAAAAGGGUUUGUGAAAUUUUUAUUUGUUAUUGAGUUCGACACUUUCUGUCGCGAGAAAGUGAGAGAAAACUGGAAGGAACAUAAUGAGAUGGGAGAUUGUGGUCGGCACGUGCCAGAUUCGUUCAUGUGUGACACGUGGCGGAAUCUUUAAUGAUGUAAAACUCUACAUCAACGAGAUUACAAAUCCAGAUGAAGAUACCUUAACCGUCCUUUGUUUGCCUGCCACGGACGUAUAUUGCAGUGUAAUUUUCUUUUGAUAAAAAUGAGACAUUUCUCGUAUCAUAAGUAAGCCCCAGCACAAUUUUCUGACUGUAAAAGUGAAAAAUACAAUAGUAUUGGCAGACAGUAAUUACAGUAUGACAUUAAAAUUUAUAUACAAAGUAUUUAGACUUCUAUUACCUGGUUUAUAUACUACAAUCUAGACAUCAUAAGAUGGUCAGAGAAUCAACAAAAGACAAUGAAAUUCAAUCACGUAAUAUGCUCAUAUAGUGAACUAAGUUAUGUCUGAGAGUGACGAGCCAGAAAAAAUUUUCGAUUGGAUCAAAUUCAACAUAUAAUACAAUGUCAUCUCUUAAUGAAAUUCAGCUGACUGAAAAAAUGUUUUGCACCCGCAGUCAUCUGAGUUCAAAUAAUAAUAAAGGGUGAGAAUUAGUCUUUAACAAAUGAGAUUUCUUUAUCUCCAUUUUAAACCCUUAUUAGUAUAAUACAAUUUCAUAAGAAUUUAAAUAACAAUAUAUGACCAUUGAUUUAUUUUUUACACAAAAAUUCAGUGUUUGAACUAGCAGUAAGUAAGUUCAAUUUUUGAACUAGAGAUAAGCACUGAACUUUUCAUAAUUUUAAAACUCAAAUGGGAUAUUUUUAUAAAAUCAAAGGAAGUAAGGUCAGAGGUCUUCAAAAAUUUUCUAAAGCGACCGGGGACGCAGGCCCCGACUGUUCCUACCAUUGCUCAAAUUUGUAAUGGGCAUCGUGACAUUGUUCACAAGUUUGGAUUUGGAUUCUUAACAAGUUCAUAUUUGUAAGGCUUACAUUUAUCUUGAGCAAUAAGCACAAAGACUCAAUUCUACUAGUGAGCAAAAAACACGAGGGACGUGAUAAGGCUUGCAGCCUCUCGGGGCCAAAAUUUUGGUUAAUGAACCGUAGAUUGAGAAUGUGCAUAUGGAUAAGUUCUAACCUCAAGUCGUAACUAUUAGUUGCCUGCGGCCCCAACUCAAUCAAAAGGUGCUACAGAAAUUACAUAUUUAUUGGAAUUUGUUUUGUUUUUUUGGUUGUUUGAUUGAUUGUGUAUGAAGACAAAGUCUUGAGGAACCACAGUGUCUAGAUACUUAUUAGCACAUAAGAUAAGCAUGCUCUGAACUCCGAAGACUCAGCCACUGAAGUGAUGAUUUGUGAAGGAUCCACCUGUAUUUAAUUGAAGGAAACUGAAAUCAAGCUUUGCUUCAUUUACUUAAAUUUCCCUUCCCCUUCGUUGAUUAUGUAAGCCUUAAGCGAGUUGUCUAUUAAUUUAAUGACAUACGUAUAGAGCCCUACUGAGCUGAAGUGCAAGCUAUGUAUUAUUACAAUUAUCGUAUAUGGUGAUGACGAUGAAGUCUCGGGACUUGAAUUUAGAGGAAGGAACGCCGAGACGGGUUGCUAGUGUUGAAAUGGACAGCAUCAGUAGGAGCGCGAGAGAAGCAGGAAAAUCUGUUUAUCGCACUCGGAUCGAAAGCUUGAGUAAUGGAGAAAAAACAUCCCUUCAGCAGAUUCGUGAUCUGCCGAAACGUUUCCUGGAAGUUAAUUUUUUGCUGAUUUAUGUGUAUUCCAUGGUAUUUGAUCCUGUUUUCUUGUACCUUCCCGUGAUCAAC